GCCGGCGACCAUACCACGUUGAAAGCACCGGUUCUCGCCCGAUCACCUCAGUUAAGCAACAUUAGGCCCGGUCAGUACUUGCAUGGUUGACUGGCUGGGAAUACCGGGUGUUGCCGGCU
rnacentral:rRNA from 1 species